AAUGUGUGUGAUAGAUUUGCUUGAUUAAAGGGAAAAAAAAAAAAAGAAUAGUGCUAAAGAAGGACAAAACCCCCAUGGAUAAGAAGGGCUGAGUACUCAA